rnacentral:rRNA from 1 species
UACGUAGGGUGCAAGCGUUAAUCGGAAUUACUGGGCGUAAAGCGUGCGCAGGCGGUUUUGUAAGUCUGAUGUGAAAUCCCCGGGCUCAACCUGGGAAUUGCAUUGAGACUGCAAGGCUAGAAUCUGGCAGAGGGGGGUAGAAUUCCACGUGUAGCAGUGAAAUGCGUAGAGAUGUGGAGGAACACCGAUGGCGAAGGCAGCCCCCUGGGUCAAGAUUGACGCUCAUGCACGAAAGCGUGGGGAGCAAACAGG